GGGCUCGGGGCCUAUGAGGCACAGGCGUGGGACUUUUAAUCCCGAGACAGAGGGUUCGAAUCCCUCCGAGCCCG
rfam:Haloarcula marismortui ATCC 43049 chromosome II, complete sequence.